rnacentral:lncRNA from 1 species
AGGUGAGUUGAUCCCAUGUUGUUCAUAUUUGUGUUCCAAUAUUAGCCACCAAUUGAAUAUUUCAUUUUGUACUAAAUAAGCUGCAUAAUAAAUCUUUUCAUCAUCGCAACAUUCUUAGAUGGCAAAUAUCUUUUCCAUCUCUAUAAUCCAAUUGUCAACUUCCAAAUUGCUAUGAUGGUGGUCAAAUUCCAUGCAAUAGAGAGCAAGAAGUGCGGGAACCC